CCUACGGGAGGCAGCAGUGGGGAAUAUUGCACAAUGGGCGCAAGCCUGAUGCAGCGACGCCGCGUGAGGGAUGGAGGCCUUCGGGUUGUAAACCUCUUUCGCCAGUGAAGCAGGCCUGCUCCUUGUGGGUGGGUUGACGGUAGCUGGAUAAGAAGCGCCGGCUAACUACGUGCCAGCAGCCGCGGUAAUACGUAGGGCGCGAGCGUUGUCCGGAAUUAUUGGGCGUAAAGAGCUCGUAGGCGGCUGGUCGCGUCUGUCGUGAAAUCCUCUGGCUUAACUGGGGGCUUGCGGUGGGUACGGGCCGGCUUGAGUGCGGUAGGGGAGACUGGAACUCCUGGUGUAGCGGUGGAAUGCGCAGAUAUCAGGAAGAACACCGGUGGCGAAGGCGGGUCUCUGGGCCGUUACUGACGCUGAGGAGCGAAAGCGUGGGGAGCGAACAGGAUUAGAUACCCGAGUAGUC
rnacentral:rRNA from 1 species